UGGGGAAUAUUGGACAAUGGGCGAAAGCCUGAUCCAGCCAUGCCGCGUGUGUGAAGAAGGUCUUCGGAUUGUAAAGCACUUUAAGUUGGGAGGAAGGGCAUUAACCUAAUACGUUAGUGUUUUGACGUUACCGACAGAAUAAGCACCGGCUAACUCUGUGCCAGCAGCCGCGGUAAUACAGAGGGUGCAAGCGUUAAUCGGAAUUACUGGGCGUAAAGCGCGCGUAGGUGGUUUGUUAAGUUGGAUGUGAAAUCCCCGGGCUCAACCUGGGAACUGCAUUCAAAACUGACUGACUAGAGUAUGGUAGAGGGUGGUGGAAUUUCCUGUGUAGCGGUGAAAUGCGUAGAUAUAGGAAGGAACACCAGUAGCGAAGGCGACCACCUGGACUAAUACUGACACUGAGGUGCGAAAGCGUGGGGAGCAAACA
rnacentral:rRNA from 1 species